rnacentral:sRNA from 2 species
GACAAGCCAUUGGACCGGAUUCUACGCUGUUGAUGAAACAUCAUCGUUCAUUCAUUGAUUGAUUCACUGAUUCAUUCAUUUUUUCAUGUUUCUUUUUUCUUUUUUUUUUUUUUUAAAAAAAUCUUUUCUCUGGUUUCAAUUGGCCUGUUCAACAGGAUUUUAUGUUGACAUAUGGAUAAGAUAAAAUAUUAUAUCACCUAUCUUUACUCCACGGCCCGGGGAAAUCCAGGAUAGAGGAGAGAAGAGGGGCGAGAAAAGAAGGAAUAUCCGGAAAAGAUUGAACGUGCUUCUAAAAUUUGAGCUCUUUUUUGACUGGCUCGCCCCGGUGGUUGAGGUGUUUUUGUACCCUAUCAAAAUCCCAAGUGCUUUGGAGUACUAAGAUUUCACGAGCCUUGGGCACUUUGUACCGCAAAAAUCUGACC